ACGAUCAGUAGCCGGCCUGAGAGGGUGGACGGCCACAUUGGGACUGAGACACGGCCCAAACUCCUACGGGAGGCAGCAGUGGGGAGCAUUGCACAAUGGGGGAAACCCUGAUGCAGCGACGCCGCGUGAGCGAAGAAGUAUUUCGGUAUGUAAAGCUCUAUUAGCAGGGAAGAAACUGACGGUACCUGACUAAGAAGCACCGGCUAAAUAC
rnacentral:rRNA from 1 species